rnacentral:rRNA from 1 species
CAAGCUGCAGAGAUGUGGCCCCCCUUGUGGUCGGUAUACAGGUGGUGCAUGGCUGUCGUCAGCUCGUGUCGUGAGAUGUUGGGUUAAGUCCCGCAACGAGCGCAACCCUUGCCUUUAGUUGCCAGCAGUUCGGCUGGGCACUCGUAAAGGGACUGCCGGUGUUAAACCGGAGGAAGGUGGGGAUGACGUCAAGUCCUCAUGGCCUUUAUGACCAGGGCUACACACGUACUACAAUGGCCGAUACAAAGGGCAGCGACACUGCGAGGUGAAGCCAAUCCCGUAAAAUCGGUCUCAGUCCGGAUUGGAGUCUGCAACUCGACUCCAUGAAGUUGGAAUCGCUAGUAAUCGUGGAUCAGCAUGCCACGGUGAAUACGUUCCCGGGCCUU